rnacentral:rRNA from 1 species
UACGUAGGGUGCAAGCGUUACUCGGAAUUACUGGGCGUAAAGCGUGCGCAGGCGGUUGUGUAAGACAGAUGUGAAAUCCCCGGGCUCAACCUGGGAACUGCAUUUGUGACUGCAUGGCUAGAGUACGGUAGAGGGGGAUGGAAUUCCGCGUGUAGCAGUGAAAUGCGUAGAUAUGCGGAGGAACACCGAUGGCGAAGGCAAUCCCCUGGACCUGUACUGACGCUCAUGCACGAAAGCGUGGGGAGCAAACAGG